rnacentral:rRNA from 1 species
GAUGAACGCUAGCGGGAGGCCUAACACAUGCAAGCCGAGCGGUAGAGUCUCUUCGGAGACUUGAGAGCGGCGCACGGGUGCGGAACACGUGUGCAACCUGCCUUUAUCUGGGGGAUAGCCUUUCGAAGGGAAGAUUAAUACCCCAUAAUAUACUGGAUGGCAUCAUCUGGUAUUGAAAACUCCGGUGGAUAGAGAUGGGCACGCGCAAGAUUAGAUAGUUGGUGAGGUAACGGCUCACCAAGUCAGCGAUCUUUAGGGGGCCUGAGAGGGUGAUCCCCCACACUGGUACUGAGACACGGACCAGACUCCUACGGGAGGCAGCAGUGAGGAAUAUUGGACAAUGGGUGAGAGCCUGAUCCAGCCAUCCCGCGUGAAGGACGACGGCCCUAUGGGUUGUAAACUUCUUUUGUAUAGGGAUAAACCUAGAUACGUGUAUCUAGCUGAAGGUACUAUACGAAUAAGCACCGGCUAACUCCGUG